UGAAAUCUUAAAUUGUGAAACUGAACAUGGGAAGAAACUCCUGCAAGCUCAUGAUUCUUUUGUGGAUACAGGAAAAUGAAAUGAAGAGAUAUGCUCAGCAGAGACCUUUUUCUUGGGGAGCACUUUGCUUACUCCAGUGAAAAUGAAGGCAUGCCUGUUUAGCCCAGAAGGGCAUACCACAAGUACAAAUGAACUGCGUUGAUACUGAAGUCCUCUGCUCUGUCUAAAUAGAGAUUCUCUUAUGGCAAGCUGUGACUGAAGCUACUUGGCAAAUGAUGUCUGUCAUCUAGAAGGCUGUUUUUCGCUCCUUUCUUCACAUACAACUCUUUUGUUGGAAUUCCAACGCCUUUGAAAAAUCAAGGGACCCAAAACACAUCAUUACGGGACCACUUGUAAAGUACAGCGUGUUUUGAAUGCUCUCAGCUAGGAAGACUAUUCCAACUACGUCUUUCCUCUUUACCCUUCCCUAAAUGUUUUAUUGAAAUUGGCCAGGAUCUGUCAUCCUUCCUGACCACACCCAUGGUCUAUGAAAUUAAACAGAACUGAAAGUGAGAGCUUUGUUUCCUUCCUCUGUAUUCUGUUUCUCUUUUGGAAAGUGAAAGAGGACAUCAUUCGUGCUUAUGCUACCAACACAUGGGUAUCAUGUGGGCACAGAUGAUACAGAGGAGAGAACUAAAAAACCUUCCUCUUCCAUGUGGUCCCUUCCAGCCAUGAGGUGUGCAGUGAGGACUAUAUCCAAAUCACUGGAGGGCUUUCAAAAAUGCUCAUGCUUGAAGCCCAAGGCCUGGGAAUGUCUGUGAAGAAAUAAAUUGGAAAUUUGAGGUUGGGAAACAGGC